AUAAACUUCUCAAGAGCUGUCAGAGAAUGAGAAUUUAAGGCUAAAACAUAAUAAGAAUUUGAAUCAAUUUCCAUAUACAGAAGACUUACGGUGUUAAGAUGAUACCGAUCUUGUGAAUUUUUCCCAAGUCUCCGUAAACUAAUCUCAAAUUAGUCAGUCUAUAGCCUACAACUUUCAAGAAGAUGCAUUUUUUUUUAUUUUUUUAUGACUGAAAACAAACAAAACACUAACAAAAAACAAAGAAAACAAAACAAAUAAUUAAACAAAACACUAACAAAAAACAAAGAAAACAAAACAAAUAAAUGGUUCC
rnacentral:lncRNA from 1 species